GACGAACGCUGGCGGCGUGCUUAACACAUGCAAGUCGAACGAAGAGCGAUGGAAGCUUGCUUCUAUCAAUCUUAGUGGCGAACGGGUGAGUAACGCGUAAUCAACCUGCCCUUCAGAGGGGGACAACAGUUGGAAACGACUGCUAAUACCGCAUACGAUCUAAUCUCGGCAUCGAGGAAAGAUGAAAGGUGGCCUCUAUUUAUAAGCUAUCACUGAAGGAGGGGAUUGCGUCUGAUUAGCUAGUUGGAGGGGUAACGGCCCACCAAGGCGAUGAUCAGUAGCCGGUCUGAGAGGAUGAACGGCCACAUUGGGACUGAGACACGGCCCAGACUCCUACGGGAGGCAGCAGUGGGGAAUCUUCCGCAAUGGACGAAAGUCUGACGGAGCAACGCCGCGUGAGUGAUGACGGCCUUCGGGUUGUAAAGCUCUGUUAAUCGGGACGAAAGGCCUUCUUGCGAAUAGUGAGAAGGA
rnacentral:rRNA from 1 species